GACGAACGCUGGCGGCGUGCUUAACACAUGCAAGUCGAACGGAAAGGCCCUGCUUUUGUGGGGUGCUCGAGUGGCGAACGGGUGAGUAACACGUGAGUAACCUGCCCUUGACUUUGGGAUAACUUCGGGAAACUGGGGCUAAUACCGGAUAGGAGCUCCUGCUGCAUGGUGGGGGUUGGAAAGUUUCGGCGGUUGGGGAUGGACUCGCGGCUUAUCAGCUUGUUGGUGGGGUAGUGGCUUACCAAGGCUUUGACGGGUAGCCGGCCUGAGAGGGUGACCGGCCACAUUGGGACUGAGGUACGGCCCAGACUCCUACGGGAGGCAGAAGUGGGGAAUAUUGCACAAUGGGCGGAAGCCUGAUGCAGCAACGCCGCGUGCGGGAUGACGGCCUUCGGGUUGUAAACCGCUUUCGCCUGUGACGAAGCGUGAGUGACGGUAAUGGGUAAAGAAGCACCGGCUAACUACGUG
rnacentral:rRNA from 1 species